UUUAAAGGAUAACAGCCAUCCACUGGCCUUAGGAGCCACCUAUCUUGGUGCAAAUCCAAGUAAAAGUAAUG
rnacentral:tRNA from 1 species